AACAGGAUUAGAUACCCUGGUAGUCCAUGCCGUAAACGUUGGGCACUAGGUGUGGGGGACAUUCCACGUUUUCCGCGCCGUAGCUAACGCAUUAAGUGCCCCGCCUGGGGAGUACGGCCGCAAGGCUAAAACUCAAAGGAAUUGACGAGGGCCCGCACAAGCGGCGGAGCAUGCGGAUUAAUUCGAUGCAACGCGAAGAACCUUACCAAGGCUUGACAUGGACUGGAAAUACCUGGAAACAGGUGCCCCGCUUGCGGUCGGUUCACAGGUGGUGCAUGGUUGUCGUCAGCUCGUGUCGUGAGAUGUUGGGUUAAGUCCCGCAACGAGCGCAACCCUCGUUCUAUGUUGCCAGCGCGUUAUGGCGGGGACUCAUAGGAGACUGCCGGGGUCAACUCGGAGGAAGGUGGGGACGACGUCAAAUCAUCAUGCCCCUUAUGUCUUGGGCUUCACGCAUGCUACAAUGGCCGGUACAAAGGGUUGCGAUACUGUGAGGUGGAGCUAAUCCCAAAAAGCCGGUCUCAGUUCGGAUUGGGGUCUGCAACUCGACCCCAUGAAGUCGGAGUCGCUAGUAAUCGCAGAUCAGCAACGCUGCGGUGAAUACGUUCCCGGGCCUUGUACACACCGCCCGUCAAGUCACGAAAGUUGGUAACACCCGAAGCCGGUGGCCUAACCCCUUGUGGGAGGGAGCUGUCGAAGGUGGGACUGGCGAUUGGGACUAAGUCGUAACAAGGUAACC
rnacentral:rRNA from 1 species